CAGCCGCCGCGGUAACACCAGCCCCUCGAGUGGUGGGGACUAUUAUUUGGCCUAAAGCGUCCGUAGCCGGCUGAAGCCGUUACCCGUUAAAUCCAGCGUCUCAAGCGUUGGACUGCGGGUGAUACCCUUCAGCUUGAGGGUGGGACAAGUCAGCGGUAUUCCCGGGGUAGGGGCGAAAUCCUUUGAUCCCGGGAGGACACCAGUGGCGAAGGCUGCUGACUAGAACACGCCUGACGGUCAGGGACGAAAGCUGGGGUAGCGAACCGGAUUAGAUACCCGGGUAGUCCCAGCUGUAAACGAUGCGCGCUAGGUGUUGGGUCGGCCACGCGCCGCCCCAGUGCCGCAGGGAAGCCGUUAAGCGCGCCGCCUGGGGAGUACGGCCGCAAGGCUGAAACUUAAAGGAAUUGGCGGGGGAGCAC
rnacentral:rRNA from 1 species